UUUGAUCAUGGCUCAGAUUGAACGCUGGCGGCAGGCCUAACACAUGCAAGUCGAGCGGAAACGAGUUAUCUGAACCUUCGGGGGACGAUAACGGCGUCGAGCGGCGGACGGGUGAGUAAUGCCUAGGAAAUUGCCCUGRUGUGGGGGAUAACCAUUGGAAACGAUGGCUAAUACCGCAUAACACCUUCGGGUCAAAGAGGGGGACCUUCGGGCCUCUCGCGUCAGGAUAUGCCUAGGUGGGAUUAGCUAGUUGGUGAGGUAAUGGCUCACCAAGGCGACGAUCCCUAGCUGGUCUGAGAGGAUGAUCAGCCACACUGGAACUGAGACACGGUCCAGACUCCUACGGGAGGCAGCAGUGGGGAAUAUUGCACAAUGGGCGCAAGCCUGAUGCAGCCAUGCCGCGUGUGUGAAGAAGGCCUUCGGGUUGUAAAGCACUUUCAGUCGUGAGGAAGGUAGUGUAGUUAAUAGCUGCAUUAUUUGACGUUAGCGACAGAAGAAGCACCGGCUAACUCCGUGCCAGCAGCCGCGGUAAUACGGAGGGUGCGAGCGUUAAUCGGAAUUACUGGGCGUAAAGCGCAUGCAGGUGGUUUGUUAAGUCAGAUGUGAAAGCCCGGGGCUCAACCUCGGAAUAGCAUUUGAAACUGGCAGACUAGAGUACUGUAGAGGGGGGUAGAAUUUCAGGUGUAGCGGUGAAAUGCGUAGAGAUCUGAAGGAAUACCGGUGGCGAAGGCGGCCCCCUGGACAGAUACUGACACUCAGAUGCGAAAGCGUGGGGAGCAAACAGGAUUAGAUACCCUGGUAGUCCACGCCGUAAACGAUGUCUACUUGGAGGUUGUGGCCUUGAGCCGUGGCUUUCGGAGCUAACGCGUUAAGUAGACCGCCUGGGGAGUACGGUCGCAAGAUUAAAACUCAAAUGAAUUGACGGGGGCCCGCACAAGCGGUGGAGCAUGUGGUUUAAUUCGAUGCAACGCGAAGAACCUUACCUACUCUUGACAUCCAGAGAACUUUCCAGAGAUGGAUUGGUGCCUUCGGGAACUCUGAGACAGGUGCUGCAUGGCUGUCGUCAGCUCGUGUUGUGAAAUGUUGGGUUAAGUCCCGCAACGAGCGCAACCCUUAUCCUUGUUUGCCAGCACUUCGGGUGGGAACUCCAGGGAGACUGCCGGUGAUAAACCGGAGGAAGGUGGGGACGACGUCAAGUCAUCAUGGCCCCUUACGA
rnacentral:rRNA from 1 species